rnacentral:rRNA from 1 species
GCACAAGCGGUGGAGCAUGUGGAUUAAUUCGAUGCAACGCGAAGAACCUUACCUGGGUUUGACAUGCACAGGACGCCGGUAGAGAUAUCGGUUCCCUUGUGGUCUGUGUGCAGGUGGUGCAUGGCUGUCGUCAGCUCGUGUCGUGAGAUGUUGGGUUAAGUCCCGCAACGAGCGCAACCCUUGUCUCAUGUUGCCGGCGCGUUAUGGCGGGGACUCGUGAGAGACUGCCGGGGUCAACUCGGAGGAAGGUGGGGAUGACGUCAAGUCAUCAUGCCCCUUAUGUCCAGGGCUUCACACAUGCUACAAUGGCCGGUACAAAGGGCUGCGAUGCCGUGAGGCUUAGCGAAUCCUUUAAAGCCGGUCUCAGUUCGGAUCGGGGUCUGCAACUCGACCCCGUGAAGUCGGAGUCGCUAGUAAUCGCAGAUCAGCAACGCUGCGGUGAAUACGUUCCCGGGC